GUGCAGAGAUGCAAAUGUUUCCUCUUAUAUUCGGGUUGGGGGUAGGGAUUGACACCUAGGGUGAAUAGUUGGAAUGGGGAGCUGGUGAAUAGCUCAACAUCCUCUUCUGGUGCCUCUAGCUGUUCUGGGAUCCUGUCUUUGGGCACCUAGAGGCUUUCAAAAGUAAGCAGAAAACCAAGCAAGCUUGAAGACAAGCAAGGAGUGGACUCAGGUCUGUCACCACACAUAGCUUGGCCUUAGAAGAACCCUUGAUAACUCUGACAUCAGAAACAUUGGCCUGAAUCCAAGUGUCAAUAGGAUGAAUUGGGAUGUAAACUUCAGGGAGGCCAUUAGAAGAGCAAGGUCCCCAGGUCAUCACCCCUAGCAGCACCCACUGACCAGCAAAGAAGCAAAGGAGAGUACUGCCAUCUGCCACCUAAAAGGAGAGAGAAGAGUCACUGGAUCAAGUACUCCAUCAAGCAACAUGCUAACUGGUUGGUGGGACAUCUGGAAGAGAGCCAGAGGGUGCCUGAUUGACCUUGGGUGAUUUAAUAUUGGACUGGCUCAAGGUACAGACUCAAGGUACGGGCCCUUGUUUUGGGGAGAUUUUCUGCUAUGUUCUACCACCAGCCACCCUACUCACACUCUGAACCAUUGAACAGUAAUCCCAGAGAUAAUCCCUGGUGUUAUAUGUGACAUAUUCAUCGGGCUGAAUACAUUUCAAAGUGUGUUCAAAUACAGCAUUUCAUUUGAUUUUCACAGCUAUAUGAAGGAGGC
rnacentral:lncRNA from 1 species